GACGAACGCUGGCGGCGUGCUUAACACAUGCAAGUCGAACGAUCAACUUGGAGCUUGCUCUGGGGGAUUAGUGGCGAACGGGUGAGUAACACGUGAGUAACCUGCCCUGGACUCUGGGAUAACUUCGAGAAAUCGGAGCUAAUACCGGAUAGGACCUUGCACCGCAUGGUGUGGGGUGGAAAGUUUUUCGGUUUGGGAUGGACUCGCGGCCUAUCAGCUUGUUGGUGAGGUAAUGGCUCACCAAGGCGUCGACGGGUAGCCGGCCUGAGAGGGUGACCGGCCACACUGGGACUGAGACACGGCCCAGACCCCUACGGGAGGCAGCAGUGGGGAAUAUUGCACAAUGGGCGCAAGCCUGAUGCAGCAACGCCGCGUGCGGGAUGACGGCCUUCGGGUUGUAAACCGCUUUUAGUAGGGAAGAAGCCUUCGGGUGACGGUACCUGCAGAAAAAGGACCGGCUAACUACGUGCCAGCCGCCGCGGUAACAC
rnacentral:rRNA from 1 species